CGUGAGGGAAAGGUGAAAAGAACCCCGAGAGGGGAGUGAAAUAGAACCUGAAACCAUUGGUUUACAAUCCGUUAAAGAGUCGGAUAAGAAUUUAUUCUUAUCUCUCAAUAGCGUGCCUUUUGAAGAAUGAGCCAGCGAGUUACCGUUUGUGGCAAGGUUAACCCGAGAGGGGAAGCCGAAGCGAAAGCGAGUCUGAAUAGGGCGUACUAGUCGCAGGCGGUAGACCCGAAGCCGGGUGAUCUAUCCAUGAGCAGGGUGAAGCGGAGGUAAGACUUCGUGGAGGCCCGAACCCACCCUAGUUGAAAAUAGGGGGGAUGACUUGUGGAUAGGGGUGAAAGGCCAAUCAAACUCGGUGAUAGCUGGUUCUCCCCGAAAUGCAUUUAGGUGCAGCGUCGUGAGUUCAGUAUCGGAGGUAGAGCUACUGGAUGGUUUAGGGGGCCUACAAGCUUACCAACAUCAGCCAAACUCCGAAUGCCGAUACUCCAGAUCACGGCAGUGAGACUAUGGGGGCUAAGCUUCAUAGUCGAGAGGGAAACAGCCCAGAGCGCCAACUAAGGUCCCAAAUUUAUACUCAGUGGUAAACGAUGUGGGAAUGCCUAGACAGCCAGGAGGUUGGCUUAGAAGCAGCCAUCCUUGAAAGAGUGCGUAAUAGCUCACUGGUCGAGUGUUCCUGCGCGGACAAUGUAACGGGGCUCAAGUAUAAAACCGAAGUUGCGUCAUUAGGAUAAUUUAUUAUUACUGAUGGGUAGGGGAGCGUCGAGUUCGACUGUGAAGCCAGAUGAUAACGUCUGGUGGAGUGGACUCGAGUGAGAAUGCUGGCAUGAGUAGCGAACGAAGGGGGAGGAACCCUUCCUCCGAAUAUCCAAGGGUUCCUGGGCAAGGCUCAUCCGCCCAGGGUUAGUCGGGAGCUAAGGCGAGGCCGAAAGGCGUAGUCGAUGCACAACUGGUUGAUAUUCCAGUACCACCAUAUUCGCGCCCAGCCUAAGCUAAUUUGCUAAGUGGCUGUUAAUUUAUUAACGAAACGACCCAAUUAGUGCAUGGUAAUUGUAGGGGGACGCAGGAAGGUAGAUCUGACAGGUGAUGGUUAUCCUGGAAGUAAGUAAGUAGGGAGUGUGAUAGGAAAAUCCGUUGCACAUUAAUCCUGAGAUACGACACGUAGCCGAUUUAGGCGAUUUGAUUGAUCCUAUGCUGCCUAGAAAAGCCUAGCAAUGAGUUAAUAUGGUGCCCGUACCCCAAACCGACACAGGUAGAUAAGUAGAGAAUACUAAGGAGAGCGAGAUAACUCCGGUUAAGGAACUCGGCAAAAUGCCCCCGUAACUUCGGGAUAAGGGGGGCCUCAGUAAAGUGAUUGUCUUCGCGACAUGAGCUUGAGGAGGCCGCAGUGACUAGAGCCAAGCGACUGUUUACCAAAAACACAGGUGCAUGCGAAGCCGUAAGGCGAUGUAUAUGCACUGACGCCUGCCCAAUGCUGGAAGGUCACGGAGAGAGGUUAGCGCUUGUCGCGAAGCUUCGAACUUAAGCCCCAGUGAAUGGCGGCCGUAACUAUAACGGUCCUAAGGUAGCGAAAUUCCUUGUCGGGUAAGUUCCGACCUGCACGAAUGGCGUAACGACUUGGCUACUGUCUCAACCGGAGACUCGGCGAAAUUGCAAUACGAGUAAAGAUGCUCGUUUCCCGCACCAGGACGGUAAGACCCCGUGCACCUUUACUGCAACUUGAUGUUGGGUUUGGGUAUGAACUGUGUAGGAUAGCUGGGAGACUGCGAAGCAGAGGCGUCAGCUUUUGUGGAGUCAACCUUGAAAUACCAGCCUGUUCAUAUCGGAACCUCUCACCACAGGCCCUAGAUCGGGUCUUGGGACAGCGUCAGGUGGGUAGUUUGACUGGGGCGGUCGCCUCCUAAAGAGUAACGGAGGCGU
rnacentral:rRNA from 1 species